GACGUAGGGCGCGAGCGUUGUCCGGAUUUAUUGGGCGUAAAGAGCUCGUAGGCGGCUCGUUGCGUCGGCUGUGAAAACCCGGGGCUCAACCCCGGGCCUGCAUUCGAUACGGGCAGACUGGAGUUCGGUAGGGGAGUCUGGAAUUCCUGGUGUAGCGGUGAAAUGCGCAGAUAUCAGGAGGAACACCGGUGGCGAAGGCGGGACUCUGGGCCGAUACUGACGCUGAGGAGCGAAAGCGUGGGGAGCGAACAGG
rnacentral:rRNA from 1 species